GAUGAACGCUAGCGGCAGGCUUAACACAUGCAAGUCGAGGGGCAGCGCGGGAUCGCAAUAUCCUGGCGGCGACCGGCGGAAGGGUGCGUAACGCGUGAGCGACAUGCCCGUUGCCCGGGGACAACCGGUGGAAACGCCGACUAAUCCCCGAUGGGAUAUUGUGCCGCAUGGCACGAUAUUGAAAGUUACGGCGGCGACGGAUUGGCUCGCGUCCGAUUAGCUUGUUGGCGGGGUAACGGCCCACCAAGGCUGCGAUCGGUAGGGGUUCUGAGAGGAAGGCCCCCCACAAGGGGACUGAGACACGGCCCAUACUCCUACGGGAGGCAGCAGUGAGGAAUAUUGGACAAUGGGCGGAAGCCUGAACCAGCCAUGCCGCGUGCGGGAAGGAGGCCCUAUGGGCUGUGAACCGCUUUUGCCUGGGGGCAAUAAGGGCGUCGCGCACGUCCGAUGAGAGUACCAGGCGAAUAAGCAUCGGCUAACUCCGUG
rnacentral:rRNA from 1 species